rnacentral:rRNA from 1 species
UACGAAGGGGGCUAGCGUUGCUCGGAAUCACUGGGCGUGAAGCGCACGUAGGCGGACUCUUAAGUCAGGGGUGAAAUCCUGGAGCUCAACUCCAGAACUGCCUUUGAUACUGAGAGCCUUGAGUCCGGAAGAGGUAAGUGGAACUGCGAGUGUAGAGGUGAAAUUCGUAGAUAUUCGCAAGAACACCAGUGGCGAAGGCGGCUUACUGGUCCGGUACUGACGCUGAGGUGCGAAAGCGUGGGGAGCAAACAGG